CCCCUCGACGACGAGGACAUGAUGUCCUACAUCCUUGCUGGGCUCGACGACGAUUACAAGCCUGUCGUCUCCUCUAUUUUUGGCAUAGUGGAGGCGGUCCCAGUUGUGAAGAUCUACACUCAACUCCUGAGUUUUGAGA
rnacentral:snoRNA from 1 species